GAUGAACGCUGGCGGCGUGCCUAAUACAUGCAAGUCGAGCGAACAGACGAGGAGCUUGCUCCUCUGACGUUAGCGGCGGACGGGUGAGUAACACGUGGAUAACCUACCUAUAAGACUGGGAUAACUUCGGGAAACCGGAGCUAAUACCGGAUAAUAUAUUGAACCGCAUGGUUCAAUAGUGAAAGACGGUUUUGCUGUCACUUAUAGAUGGAUCCGCGCCGCAUUAGCUAGUUGGUAAGGUAACGGCUUACCAAGGCAACGAUGCGUAGCCGACCUGAGAGGGUGAUCGGCCACACUGGAACUGAGACACGGUCCAGACUCCUACGGGAGGCAGCAGUAGGGAAUCUUCCGCAAUGGGCGAAAGCCUGACGGAGCAACGCCGCGUGAGUGAUGAGGGUCUUCGGAUCGUAAAACUCUGUUACUAGGGAAGAACAAAUGUGUAAGUAACUAUGCACGUCUUGACGGUACCUAAUCAGAAAGCCACGGCUAACUACGUG
rnacentral:rRNA from 1 species